rnacentral:rRNA from 1 species
CGACCUCGCGCCAUUAGAUGAGCCUAGGUCGGUAUUAGCUAGUUGGUGAGGUAAUGGCUCACCAAGGCGACGAUCCGUAAACUGGUCUGAGAGGACGACCAGCCACACUGGGACUGAGACACGGCCCAGACUCCUACGGGAGGCAGCAGUGGGAAUUUUGGACAAUGGGCGAAAGCCUGAUCCAGCAAUGCCGCGUGAGUGAUGAAGGCCUUAGGGUUGUAAAGCUCUUUACCCGAGAUGAUAAUGACAGUAUCGGGAGAAUAAGCUCCGGCUAACUCCGUG